AUUGAACGCUGGCGGCAGGCCUAACACAUGCAAGUCGAGCGAGCGGCGGACGGGUGAGUAAUGUAUGGGGACUGCCCGAUAGAGGGGGAUAACUACUGGAAACGGUAGCUAAUACCGCAUACUAUCGGAUAACCCAUAUGGGAUUAGCUAGUAGGUGAGGUAAUGGCUCACCUAGGCGACGAUCCCUAGCUGGUCUGAGAGGAUGACCAGCCACACUGGGACUGAGACACGGUCCAGACUCCUACGGAGGCAGCAGUGGGGAAUAUUGCACAAUGGGCGCAAGCCUGAUGCAGCCAUGCCGCGUGUAUGAAGAAGGCUUUAGGAUUGUAAAGUUCUUUCGGUCGGGAAGCGUUACCUAACGAGGAAGCACCGGCUAACUCCGUGCCAGCAGCCGCGGUAAUUC
rnacentral:rRNA from 1 species